UGUGACCUCAAAUCAGGUAGGACUACCCGCUGAACUUAAGCAUAUCAAUAAGCGGAGGAAAAGAAACUAACAAGGAUUCCCCUAGUAACUGCGAGUGAAGCGGGAAAAGCUCAAAUUUAAAAUCUGGCAGUCUUUGGCUGUCCGAGUUGUAAACUAGAGAAGUGUUAUCCGCGCUGGACCGUGUACAAGUCUCCUGGAAUGGAGCGUCAUAGAGGGUGAGAAUCCCGUCUUUGACACGGACUACCAGGGCUUUGUGAUGCGCUCUCAAAGAGUCGGGUUGUUUGGGAAUGCAGCUCAAAAUGGGUGGUAAAUUCCAUCUAAAGCUAAAUAUUGGCGAGAGACCGAUAGCGAACAAGUACCGUGAGGGAAAGAUGAAAAGAACUUUGGAAAGAGAGUUAAACAGUACGUGAAAUUGCUGAAAGGGAAACGCUUGAAGUCAGUCGCGUUGUCCAGGGAUCAACCUUGCUUUUGCUUGGUGUACUUUCUGGUUGACGGGUCAGCAUCAAUUUUGACUAUUGGAAAAAGAUUAGGGGAAUGUGACAUCUUCGGAUGUGUUAUAGCCCUUGGUUGCAUACAAUGGUUGGGAUUGAGGAACUCAGCACG
rnacentral:rRNA from 1 species